rnacentral:rRNA from 1 species
UACGGAGGGUGCGAGCGUUGUCCGGAAUCACUGGGCGUAAAGGGCGCGUAGGUGGCGACCCAAGUCAACGGUGAAAGCUCGGCGCUUAACGCCGAGUCGGCCGUCGAUACUGGGUGGCUCGAGCACUGUAGAGGCAGAUGGAAUUCCGGGUGUAGCGGUGGAAUGCGUAGAGAUCCGGAAGAACACCGGUGGCGAAGGCGGUCUGCUGGGCAGUUGCUGACACUGAGGCGCGGACAGCGUGGGGAGCAAACAGGG